rnacentral:precursor_RNA from 8 species
CAGCUGUGUCUGGGGCUGCCUACUUGGUGUACAUACUUCUUUAUGUGCCCAUAUGAACAUAUAAAAGCUAUGGAAUGUAAAGAAGUAUGUAUUCUUGGUCAGGUGCUGAUCCUCAGUUUGUA